UUCUGUGGUUAUUUGGUUCCUUCUCUGGGGAUUGUUUUUGCUGUUUUUCCGCCUCUUUUGUCCCCAGUUCUGUUCCAGGCUGUUGGGAGUCUGGUUGGGGCCUGGUGAAGCAGAGCCCAGGCCAGCCCUGCAGGGGAACCUGCAGGACUGUCAGGGCCUGGCCUCGAUGGAAUCGCUCCAUGCCGCCUGUCCUUCUCUUCCGACCCGUCCCAGCCCCUGGCAGCACCAAGCAAGGCUUUUCCCCAGGGCCUGCAAGUCGGCCAGGAAAGGGAAGGUGGUGCCCACAUGGCGUCAGGGCCCCUGCUGGCCUCUGCAGCCCCUGGUCUUUCCAUUCGUUGUUAGGCAUGCUGGGCUUUGAGCCAGGUGUCCAGUAUCUCUGAUCUCAAACCUUACACCUACCCUGCAAGGUUAAUUACCAUCUGUGUUUGACAGUCGAGGAAGCCGAUGCUCUGAGAGGGUAAGAAUCUUGCCACGGAGCACACAGCUUAUUCCUUUCCAUUCUGAGAAGCCAAGGUAUUUUCGCCCGGUGGAGGAAUGACGUAGUUCCAUCCUAAUCUUGUCUUAUACUUGCAGACUAGCCCUGAGCUAACAUCUGCCGCCAAUCCUCCUUUUUUUGCUGAGGAAGACUGGCUGUGAGCUAACAUCCAUGCCCAUCUUCCUCUACUUUAUAUGCGGGACGCCUACCACAGCAUGGCUUGCCAAGCGGUGCCAUGUCCGCACGCAGGAUCGGAACCAGCGAAUCCCCGGGCCGCAGAAGUGGAAUGUGCGCACUUAACCGCUGCGUCACCAGGCCGGCCCCUGACUUACUUUAAAUGUCUGCACCUGGUUCAAUUGUAGUUUCCAUCUAGAAACAUCAUCGUGUUUUACUUUAAUCUCUGCAUUGACCUGAAAACUGCUAAAUCUUUUUGAGGUUAGAAUUGCUUCAAGAUAAAUGGUGCAUUAAUAUGACUAUUGUUGCUCUGAAUAUUGGCCCUAAAGAAAUUACCCAGGAAAAAAAAGAGCAUCUGUUAGCGUGUGCCUGCUCGUGGCAGAGAGGAGCCUGCAUGCAGAGCAGUCCUAAGAAUGCAGCGUCCUAGUAUGCCAGCUCGUUCCAUGGACUGGAGAGCAGCUCCUCUGCUGUGCUGCAGUGGCGCUGAGCCCUGCCUCUGAAUGGAUGUCGUGAACACUGACUGUCAUCGGCCUGUUUUCCCUUUCUAAAAGAAACGGAACACAUGUUACAUCAGGAUUUCAUUUACUAAUAAAAUGUUCCUUUUCA
rnacentral:lncRNA from 1 species